rnacentral:lncRNA from 1 species
CUUGGACUGCCUUGCUACCUCUCUCCCUCUUGUCACCUGUCCUAACCCUCUUCUUGUUCUCUGCCAUGCAGAGACUGGUGUGCAAGUCUCUGUGAACACCACAAUGGAGUGAACGACAUUGCCUGCUUGUCAUCAUCGUCAUCAUCAUCAUGAUUCUGUCCUCAAGACAACCUGGCCACACGUCAUCCUGUCUCCACACCAGGCUGCUGAGGGUCUCCUUGCUGGAACCUAAAGACCCCUCAUCACACAGACUUCGGAGCCUGGAGCCCUGGCCUCCACUGAGCCUCUGGGGGGCUGUACUGUCGGGGCCACAAGC